CUUGGCUCUGCAGCCGCAGGAAGAACUGGCUCCCGCGAAACGACUAAGUGGAUGUCAGCAGCAAAGCAGCCUCUCCUCGCUCUCGAUGCAGCAUGAGAUUGGAUCUUCUUCUUCCUGGAAGUCUAGAUAAGGAAGGGGUUUGGAAGAGUCUGGGAAGAGGCCUAGAAGAACAGCCAAAGGACUGAAGAAAGUACCACAAGAAUGAUGUUUUGGGCAAGAAAGACAGAGACUUGGCUGGGGGGAGGAACCUGGAGAGAACAGGAGCUGCUCAUGGAUCUCCUCCAAAGGACCAUGAAAGAAGCCCAGCAAUAAAAACUUCUUGUUGGUCCUGGACCAAAAGAGUGAGCCCUUCACUGAGAGGAAGGCUUUAUAUUUUUGUUGAACUCUGAUUUUAAAGUAUCAGAGGGGUAGCCGUGUUAGUUUGAAUCUGUAAAAAGCAACAGAGGGUCCUGUGGC